UAACAUUUCUACAAGUAGUAGAAGGCAAGGUAGAUGUACUUAUGAAGGUUCAUCAAUAUAGAACUCCAGGUGUAAGUUGUCGCUAUCAAUUAUUCAUGCGAGUUAGUGUACGUGGGUCAAAAAAUGUAUUUUUUAUUUCUGUCGCUACAUACAGUGCUCGACAUGUCAUCGCGUCCUAUGUUUUUACAUAUCGAUUUCUAUUCGCGAUUGUCGGUAGAACAUAAACAUGGAGAAAAAAGUGAAUUGUAGAAGUUAGUCUGUGACAUAAUAAUUCUUAAGUCUUACAAUUCGAAACGUUUAGCUCGUGCGAGUUGAGUUAUGUACAGGUCUGAAGUAUAAAAAAGAUUUUCUAUAAGAUUUCCCAUAAAAAGAUUUUAUUAGGGGGUUUCAUUGUAGUCUAAAUUUUAUAUUUUGGUAUACAGUUGCAAACCGGACUGACAAGCUGCGUGGUCUGGAUUUGGCCCAUCGGCCAGACAUUAAACAUUCGUGCCGCAAAUAUAGUGAUAUUAUGAAUAAUAUACCCUAUUGUAGGAUAUCAUUAUUGUAUCAUUUUGUUCGCAGUCUUGAAAUGUCAUUAGGUGCAAUGCUACAUCGAAAAUAACAUAUUAGAAAGAAAAGAAAAAAAUUCCAAAGAUUCAUCAAUAAAGUAUAAGAUGCGAACCUCGACAAUAUCUUGACAUACGUCUUUCACAUCAAUAUAUGACAUAUUAUGACGUCUAUUCUUACAAGAGAAGUAUUCGCAGUGCUCUAAUAUUGAUUUCUAUACGCAAUAUAUAAUUAGAUGAAGGAAUCAUAUAAAAGGUAUGCAUUUAUAAAAUUAUAGUCAAACAUACAAUUUGAUUACAUAGGAGACAAGUAGGAUUAGCAGGAAAAAUCCAGUGAGUAAAAAAAGCCAUGGUAAAUUCCGGAUUUUACCGUCCCGGACUUUAUCUUAUAAACUGGCAAAUUGGAAUAAACUGGCAAAAACUAUAAAAAUGACUAUUGAAUGCAUCUUUUGUAAGUGUAUUAACAGAAAUAAGGAUCCUGCAAUUUAAUACUUCCGUAGUGUUUAUUGACUCCAAAACUCAUAUCUUAAAAAUUUAAAUUUUGUAACAAACUUAGAUUUUGUAACGUUUAUUUUUUUCAGUAAUAUAUAUAAAAAUACUUUAAAAAUAUAAAAGACAGUGUCAUAUACAUGUACAUAUAUUUUUUACUAUUGCUAUUAAGCAGAAAAACAUUAAGACAAUUAUCGACAACAAUUAAAUCAUUACACUUCUUUUAUAAUUAUGUGCAACUAAUAUAAAACUCUGUUCUUAGCCUUUCAACUGUAUUACUUUUACACUUGCGUUAAUAAGUUAUAAAUAGAGUAUGAUGUUUUAAGAAACUGAAAUUAUAAAAGACACUUAAGCUGAUUUAAAACAUUUAAAUAUUAUUAUUAAACACAAUAAUAUUUAUCAAUAACAAUGUAUCUAUAUAACGGGUUUAUAACAGUAAUAAAUUUAUUUAUCAAUAUAAUUCUUGUUAACUAAGUAUAAUUAUAGAAUAUAAACAGCAAUGACUAACCAUUUUAAUAGUGAAACACAUUAAUUAUUUAAUUUAUAUUAUAUUAAAAUGUUACAAUAAAUAUUUUAUACUGACCAUUACAAAGGAAUCCAAAUUCAUGGUCAAAAUAUAUACUGUAGAAAUUUCAAUGAGUAUCAUUGUACGUAUCAUAAUUAUCGAUAAGUUUUUUUUCACACUAUUGUCCAAAAUUGUCCAACCUAUUUGAAAAAUGCUGUUCUGCUAAUUGGAGAUUCUGCAAAAUAAUAUGUAAAAUAUCAUAUCUUUUCUUCCUAAUGUCUUGUUUUAUUAGAUAAAUCUUUAAUUUAACUUUGUUUUCAAACCAGCAAUAAAUAAAUAUUUCCAUCAGCAUGCAGCUUGUGAACAUAAUUAACAAAAUGUGAUCUGUAUUCAAAGUUGACUUAGACACUUGAUACAAAUUUGAGCACAUUAUCAACAUACUUGUUAAAAACUGAAAUCCAAUUAUUUUAAUAAAUUUUAAAUUUACUAUCUGUGCAAAUCUGUAAUCAAUAUUUUGCUUUUAGAAAAUAUUUUUAUAUUAGGAUAAGAAUGCCAUCAAUAACAAUCUGAAAGAAAAACCAAGCAUAUUAAUAAUAAAUAAUAGGCCGAGAACGAGUUCUUUGGUCUUUCGGGUUACAAUUUACUUUUAAUGUUGACAACUAAGAUACAGCGAACGUUUCGGAUAUAGUUGUCCUUCUUCAGCCGCAUUAAUUUACAUUUCUAGUGUCGAAUUACUAUACUUAAUUAUUAAUUUCUACGUAAAUGCAUAACUAUGCCGAUUUUUUUGUACGUUAUAUAAAAAACAGUAUUUUAUUCGUCGAUGCAACGCGAGAAAAGUUUGAAUCCAUGGCCCACUGUAAGAUACCGUCUCUAUGUUCCGAUCUUGAAAUAGCAUAUCGCAUCGAUAAAGUGCUCAAUUGUGUGUUUGUUUCGUGCGGAGAUGAAUACCCGACAAGCAUAUUAAAAUUAAAAUUAUAUUUUUAAACAACAUUAAAUGUAUUUACUUAUUAUGACACUCAAUCAGUGUUAUUAUUAUAACUAGGCGAGACCUGAUUUCCACACAUUUUCAGCUAGAAUUUUGAGCAAGGUAUAUUUAAAUUGUCUGAAUGUGUUAUAUAAUUAUAAUAACUACUUCAAAGUUAAUAUUUGUCUUCUUUGAAUCUUUGUCUUUAUGAUUUAUAUAUUUUUAAUCGUAUUUGUCAGAGAUUGAAAAAUUCAAUAAUCAUAUGUCAUUUCAUACAAUGUUACUUUCAUAUUUGUAAAAAUGUCGUACUAAUUAUGUCUUAUAAAAAGCAUGUUGACAGAUUUUAGUUAAUAAUAAUAAUAUGGUAAUAAAUUAUAUGGUAAUAAUAAUUACAUGGCAAUGAAAUGUCAUACUAAAUAAAUUCAUUUUAGCGCAUGCAAAAUAUUUUUAAAAUAUAAUUUUAAUCUUUAAAAUAUUUUAAUUUAAUUUAUUUUAUUGUGUACUAACAAGUUUCUAUAAUAGUUACUCUCGGUUACAUAAAAAUAAAAGAAAAAAGAUAAAAUACGCAAAUAGUGAGACGACAGCAUGGCUACUGUUAUGAUGUUCACAAGAUAGUUUAUGCAAAAAGAGGAUAGCUCCGAUAUUUAUUCCGCACAGAAAUAAAAAAAAAAUAAAAGUGAGGAUAAUUGAUGCGCAACCACUCUGUUAAAUAUGACUUAAUAUAAAUAAGACAUGCAGAUAAUCCAAUUUUACGCUUUAAUAAAACUUGCAUUUACUUAUAUAUAUACUCAAUUUCUUUCAUAGAACUAUUGACAACGCUCUUGUGUUACUAAUCAUAUAUUGCGUAAAUAAAGUUCAUAUAAGUGUGAAAAAUUUGUUUAUUUGCAAUACCAGGAAAUACGAAAGAAAUUAUGAUACAUAUAAGAACUAGUAACAGAAUAAACAUAUUGAUGUUUAAAGCAUUGAUAUAAACUUGCACAUUAUUUUUCUUUUUAAUCAAAAAAUAAUAAAUAAAAAAAAUAUACAAUUUUCAUGGCAGUUUGGUUAAAAUUAACACACAUAAUAACAAUGCUCAA